UCCAGCAUUUGUGCCCCGGUCCGGCC
rnacentral:piRNA from 1 species